AUUGAACGCUGGCGGCAUGCUUUACACAUGCAAGUCGAACGGUAACAGGGAGCUUGCUCCGCUGACGAGUGGCGAACGGGUGAGUAAUGUAUCGGAACGUACCCAGUCGUGGGGGAUAACGUAGCGAAAGUUACGCUAGUACCGCAUAUUCUGUGAGCAGGAAAGCAGGGGAUCGCAAGACCUUGCGCUCUGGGAGCGGCCGAUGUCGGAUUAGGUAGUUGGUGGGGUAAAGGCUCACCAAGCCUGCGAUCUGUAGCUGGUCUGAGAGGACGACCAGCCUCACUGGAACUGAGACACGGUCCAGACUCCUACGGGAGGCAGCAGUGGGGAAUUUUGGACAAUGGGCGCAAGCCUGAUCCAGCCAUUCCGCGUGCAGGAUGAAGGCCCUCGGGUUGUAAACUGCUUUUGUACGGUAACGAAAAGGCUUUCUCUAAUACAGGGGGCUCAUGACGGUACCGUAAGAAUAAGCACCGGCUAACUACGUGCCAGCAGCCGCGUAA
rnacentral:rRNA from 1 species